rnacentral:rRNA from 1 species
GAUGAACGCUAGCGGCAGGCCUAAUACAUGCAAGUCGAACGGUGUCUUCGGACAUAGUGGCGCACGGGUGCGUAACACGUAUGCAACCUACCUUACAUUGGGGGAUAGCCUUUCGAAAGGGAGAUUAAUACCGCAUAAGACAGUAGCUGGGCAUCCAGCAGCUGUUAAAGAUUUAUCGAUGUAAGCUGGGCAUGCGUCCAAUUAGCUAGUUGGUGAGGUAACGGCUCACCAAGGCAAUGAUUGGUAGGGGAACUGAGAGGUCAAUCCCCCACACUGGCACUGGGCUACGACCCAGACUCCUACGGGAGGCAGCAGUAGGUAAUAUUGGGCAAUGGACGCAAGUCUGCCACAGCCAUGCCGCGUGCAGGAUGAAGGCGUUAUGCGUUGUAAACUGCUUGUAUACAGGAAGAAACGACUCUUGCGAGAGGCAUUGACGGUACUGUAUGAAUAAGCACCGGCUAACUCCGUGCCAGCCGCCGCCGUAACAC